UCGAGAAUUUUUCUCAAUGGGGGAAACCCUGAAGGAGCGACGCCGCGUGGAGGAUGAAGGUCUUCGGAUUGUAAACUCCUGUCAUUGGUGAACAAAGUCACAGGUUAACUGCCUUGUGAUCUGCUAGUAGCCGAAGAGGAAGGGACGGCUAACUCUGUGCCAGCAGCCGCGGUAAUACAGAGGUCCCGAGCGUUGUUCGGAUUCAUUGGGCGUAAAGGGUGCGUAGGCGGUGGUGUAAGUUGGAUGUGAAAUCUUGGGGCUUAACCUCAAAAUUGCAUUCAAUACUGCUCCGCUCGAGCGCUGUAGAGGAGAUUGGAAUUUACGGUGUAGCAGUGAAAUGCGUAGAUAUCGUAAGGAACACCAGUGGCGAAAGCGAAUCUCUGGACAGCAGCUGACGCUGAGGCACGAAGGCCAGGGGAGCAAACGGGAUUAGAUACCCCGGUAGUCCUGGCAGUAAACGGUGCG
rnacentral:rRNA from 1 species